rnacentral:sRNA from 1 species
CAGCGACCGCAGCCGGGGGGACGCGGGAGGAUGGAGCAAGUGGAGAUCCUGAGGAAAUUCAUCCAGAGGGUCCAGGCCAUGAAGAGUCCUGACCACAAUGGGGAGGACAACUUCGCCCGGGACUUCAUGCGGUUAAGAAGAUUGUCUACCAAAUAUAGAACAGAAAAGAUAUAUCCCACAGCCACUGGAGAAAAAGAAGAAAAUGUUAAAAAGAACAGAUACAAGGACAUACUGCCAUUUGAUCACAGCCGAGUUAAAUUGACAUUAAAGACUCCUUCACAAGAUUCAGACUAUAUCAAUGCAAAUUUUAUAAAGGGCGUCUAUGGGCCAAAAGCAUAUGUAGCAACUCAAGGACCUUUAGCAAAUACAGUAAUAGAUUUUUGGAGGAUGAUAUGGGAGUAUAAUGUUGUGGUAAGUAAUUUACUUUUCACAAUAAAUUUUGAGAAAUACUUAUGUAAUGACAUAGGCUAUUUUACUGAAUAAGGAAUGAGGGGAUUUUUUAAAAAUCCAUAAUUAUGUUUACUUAUUGCUGAUGUUUACUAAAAAGAUGGACCCAUUUUUAGGAUGUCUCAUUAAAUUUUU